AGCAGCCGCGGUAAUUCCAGCUCCAAUAGCGUAUAUUAAAGUUGUUGCAGUUAAAAAGCUCGUAGUUGAAUUUCGGGGUCAGUAGGUCGGUCGUGCCACUGGUAUGAACUGGUUUUACUGAUUCCUCCCUCUUGAAGAACUGUAAUGCCAUUAAUUUGGUGUUGCAGGGAAUCAGGACUGUUACUUUGAAAAAAUUAGAGUGUUUAAAGCAGGCUUUAGCUUGAAUACAUUAGCAUGGAAUAAUGAAAUAGGACGUUUGAUCCUAUUUUGUUGGUUUCUAGGAUCGACGUAAUGAUUAAUAGGGAUAGUUGGGGGCAUUAGUAUUCAAUUGUCAGAGGUGAAAUUCUUGGAUUUAUUGAAGACUAACUACUGCGAAAGCAUUUGCCAAGGAUGUUUUCAUUAAUCAAGAACGAAAGUUAGGGGAUCGAAGACGAUCAGAUACCGUCGUAGUCUUAACCAUAAACUAUGCC
rnacentral:rRNA from 1 species